rnacentral:rRNA from 1 species
AUUGAACGCUGGCGGCAUGCCUUACACAUGCAAGUCGAACGGCAGCACGGAGCUUGCUCUGGUGGCGAGUGGCGAACGGGUGAGUAGUAUAUCGGAACGUACCCUAGAGUGGGGGAUAACGUAGCGAAAGUUACGCUAAUACCGCAUACGAUCUAAGGAUGAAAGUGGGGGAUCGCAAGACCUCAUGCUCGUGGAGCGGCCGAUAUCUGAUUAGCUAGUUGGUAGGGUAAAAGCCUACCAAGGCAUCGAUCAGUAGCUGGUCUGAGAGGACGACCAGCCACACUGGAACUGAGACACGGUCCAGACUCCUACGGGAGGCAGCAGUGGGGAAUUUUGGACAAUGGGCGAAAGCCUGAUCCAGCAAUGCCGCGUGAGUGAAGAAGGCCUUCGGGUUGUAAAGCUCUUUUGUCAGGGAAGAAACGGUGAGAGCUAAUAUCUCUUGCUAAUGACGGUACCUGAAGAAUAAGCACCGGCUAACUACGUGCCAGCAGCCGCGGUAAUACGUAGGGUGCAAGCGUUAAUCGGAAUUACUGGGCGUAAAGCGUGCGCAGGCGGUUUUGUAAGUCUGAUGUGAAAUCCCCGGGCUCAACCUGGGAAUUGCAUUGGAGACUGCAGGGCUAGAAUCUGGCAGAGGGGGGUAGAAUUCCACGUGUAGCAGUGAAAUGCGUAGAUAUGUGGAGGAACACCGAUGGCGAAGGCAGCCCCCUGGGUCAAGAUUGACGCUCAUGCACGAAAGCGUGGGGAGCAAACAGGAUUAGAUACCCUGGUAGUCCACGCCCUAAACGAUGUCUACUAGUUGUCGGGUCUUAAUUGACUUGGUAACGCAGCUAACGCGUGAAGUAGACCGCCUGGGGAGUACGGUCGCAAGAUUAAAACUCAAAGGAAUUGACGGGGACCCGCACAAGCGGUGGAUGAUGUGGAUUAAUUCGAUGCAACGCGAAAAACCUUACCUACCCUUGACAUGGCUGGAAUCCUUGAGAGAUCAGGGAGUGCUCGAAAGAGAACCAGUACACAGGUGCUGCAUGGCUGUCGUCAGCUCGUGUCGUGAGAUGUUGGGUUAAGUCCCGCAACGAGCGCAACCCUUGUCAUUAGUUGCUACGAAAGGGCACUCUGAUGAGACUGCCGGUGACAAACCGGAGGAAGGUGGGGAUGACGUCAAGUCCUCAUGGCCCUUAUGGGUAGGGCUUCACACGUCAUACAAUGGUACAUACAGAGCGCCGCCAACCCGCGAGGGGGAGCUAAUCGCAGAAAGUGUAUCGUAGUCCGGAUUGUAGUCUGCAACUCGACUGCAUGAAGUUGGAAUCGCUAGUAAUCGCGGAUCAGCAUGUCGCGGUGAAUACGUUCCCGGGUCU